rnacentral:rRNA from 1 species
CAGUCGCCGCGGUAAUACGAAGGGUGCAAGCGUUAAUCGGAAUUACUGGGCGUAAAGCGUGCGUAGGCGGUGAGUUAAGUCUGCUGUGAAAUCCCCGGGCUCAACCUGGGAAUGGCAGUGGAUACUGGCUCGCUAGAGUGUGUCAGAGGAUGGUGGAAUUCCCGAUGUAGCGGUGAAAUGCGUAGAGAUCGGGAGGAACAUCAGUGGCGAAGGCGGCCAUCUGGGACAACACUGACGCUGAGGCACGAAAGCGUGGGGAGCAAACAGGAUUAGAUACCCCCGUAGUCCCUGUCUCUUAUAC